UACGUAGGUGGCGAGCGUUGUCCGGAUUUACUGGGCGUAAAGAGCGCGCAGGCGGUCGGAUAAGUCGAAUGUGAAAGCCCCCGGCUCAACUGGGGAGGGUCAUUCGAUACUGUUCGACUCGAAGGCAGGAGAGGGAAGCGGAAUUCCCGGUGUAGUGGUGAAAUGCGUAGAUAUCGGGAGGAACACCAGUGGCGAAGGCGGCUUUCUGGCCUGUUCUUGACGCUGAGGCGCGAAAGCCAGGGGAGCGAACGGG
rnacentral:rRNA from 1 species